rnacentral:rRNA from 1 species
CGAAUGCUGACAUAAGUAACGAUAAAGCGGGUGAAAAGCCCGCUCGCCGGAAGACCAAGGGUUCCUGUCCAACGUUAAUCGGGGCAGGGUGAGUCGACCCCUAAGGCGAGGCCGAAAGGCGUAGUCGAUGGGAAACAGGUUAAUAUUCCUGUACUUGGUGUUACUGCGAAGGGGGGACGGAGAAGGCUAUGUUGGCCGGGCGACGGUUGUCCCGGUUUAAGCGUGUAGGCUGGUUUUCCAGGCAAAUCCGGAAAAUCAAGGCUGAGGCGUGAUGACGAGGCACUACGGUGCUGAAGCAACAAAUGCCCUGCUUCCAGGAAAAGCCUCUAAGCAUCAGGUAACAUCAAAUCGUACCCCAAACCGACACAGGUGGUCAGGUAGAGAAUACCAAGGCGCUUGAGAGAACUCGGGUGAAGGAACUAGGCAAAAUGGUGCCGUAACUUCGGGAGAAGGCACGCUGAUAUGUAGGUGAAG